rnacentral:rRNA from 1 species
ACCAGCGGCGAUAGAACGUUGAAUGCACCAGUUUCCCACAGAUCACUGAAGUUGAGCAACGUUGCGCGUGGUUCGUAUCUGGAUGGGUGACUGUCAGGGACAUCACAUUCUGUUGUCA